AACUCUUAGCGGUGGAUCACUGAGCUCAUGUGUUGAUGAAGAAUGCAGCUAGCUGUGAUAAUUCAUGUGAAUUGCAGGACACAUUGAUCAUCGACACUUCGAAUGCACAUAUGGCCCUGGGUUCUUCCCAGGGCUACACUUGUCUGAGCAUUG
rnacentral:rRNA from 1 species